rnacentral:rRNA from 1 species
GACGAACCGUGCGAACGUUGUUCGGAAUCACUGGGCUUAAAGGGCGCGUAGGCGGCUUGUCAAGUCAGGGGUGAAAUCUUUCGGCUUAACCGGAAAAGUGCCUUUGAUACUGACAAGCUAGAGGGAAGUAGGGGCAUGUGGAACUUCUGGUGGAGCGGUGAAAUGCGUUGAUAUCAGAAGGAACGCCGGUGGCGAAAGCGACGUGCUGGACUUCUUCUGACGCUGAGGCGCGAAAGCUAGGGGAGCAAACGGG